UGAGGAAUAUUGGUCAAUGGCGGGAGCCUGAACCAGCCAAGUCGCGUGAGGGAAGACGGUCCUAUGGAUUGUAAACCUCUUUUGUCGGGGAGCAAAGAGACCACGUGUGGUCAAAAGCGAGAGUACCCGAAGAAAAAGCAUCGGCUAACUCCGUGCC
rnacentral:rRNA from 1 species